rnacentral:rRNA from 12 species
CUGAGUACGGCGGAACACGUGAAAUUCCGUCGGAAUCCGGGAGGACCAUCUCCCAAGGCUAAAUACUCCCUAGUGACCGAUAGUGAACCAGUACCGUGAGGGAAAGGUGAAAAGCACCCCGGAAGGGGAGUGAAACAGUUCCUGAAACCGUGUGCCUACAAGUAGUUAGAGCCCGUUAAUGGGUGAUAGCGUGCCUUUUGUAGAAUGAACCGGCGAGUUACGAUUUGUUGCAAGGUUAAGCGGAAAAAGCGGAGCCGUAGCGAAAGCGAGUCUGAAUAGGGCGCAUAAGUAACAGGUCGUAGACCCGAAACCAGGUGAUCUACCCAUGUCCAGGAUGAAGGUAAGGUAAUACUUACUGGAGGUCCGAACCCACGCACGUUGAAAAGUGCGGGGAUGAGGUGUGGGUAGCGGAGAAAUUCCAAUCGAACUUGGAGAUAGCUGGUUCUCUCCGAAAUAGCUUUAGGGCUAGCCUCGAGGUAAAGAGUCAUGGAGGUAGAGCACUGUUUGGACUAGGGGCCCUUCUCGGGUUACCGAAUUCAGAUAAACUCCGAAUGCCAUGUACUUAUACUCGGGAGUCAGACUGCGAGUGAUAAGAUCCGUAGUCGAAAGGGAAACAGCCCAGACCACCAGUUAAGGUCCCCAAAUAUAUGUUAAGUGGAAAAGGAUGUGGGGUUGCUUAGACAACCAGGAUGUUGGCUUAGAAGCAGCCACCAUUGAAAGAGUGCGUAAUAGCUCACUGGUCGAGUGACCCCGCGCCGAAAAUGUACCGGGGCUAAACAUAUUACCGAAACUGUGGAUGAACCUCUUUAGAGGUUCGUGGUAGGAGAGCGUUCUAAGGGCGGUGAAGUCAGACCGGAAGGACUGGUGGAGCGCUUAGAAGUGAGAAUGCCGGUAUGAGUAGCGAAAGAAGGGUGAGAAUCCCUUCCACCGAAUAUCUAAGGUUUCCUGAGGAAGGCUCGUCCGCUCAGGGUUAGUCGGGACCUAAGCCGAGGCCGAUAGGCGUAGGCGAUGGACAACAGGUAGAGAUUCCUGUACCAGUGCUAAUUGUUUAACCGAUGGGGUGACACAGAAGGAUAGGGAAUCGCACGAAUGGAAAUGUGCGUCCAAGCAGUGAGUGUGAGAAGUAGGCAAAUCCGCUUCUCGCGAAGCAUGAGCUGUGAUGGGGAAGGAAAUUAAGUACGGAAGUUCCUGAUUUCACGCUGUCAAGAAAAGCCUCUAGGAAGAGUAGUACUGCCCGUACCGCAAACCGACACAGGUAGAUGAGGAGAGAAUCCUAAGGUGAGCGAGAGAACUCUCGUUAAGGAACUCGGCAAAAUGACCCCGUAACUUCGGGAGAAGGGGUGCUCUAUUAGGGUGCAAGCCCGAGAGAGCCGCAGUGAAUAGGCCCAGGCGACUGUUUAGCAAAAACACAGGUCUCUGCAAAACCGUAAGGUGACGUAUAGGGGCUGACGCCUGCCCGGUGCUGGAAGGUUAAGAGGAGUGCUUAGCUUCGGCGAAGGUACGAAUUGAAGCCCCAGUAAACGGCGGCCGUAACUAUAACGGUCCUAAGGUAGCGAAAUUCCUUGUCGGGUAAGUUCCGACCCGCACGAAAGGCGCAACGAUCUGGGCACUGUCUCAACGAGAGACUCGGUGAAAUUAUAGUACCUGUGAAGAUGCAGGUUACCCGCGACAGGACGGAAAGACCCCGUGGAGCUUUACUGCAACCUGAUAUGGAAUGUUUGUACCGCUUGUACAGGAUAGGUAGGAGCCGAAGAGACGUGUGCGCUAGCAUACGAGGAGGCAAUGGUGGGAUACUACCCUGGCUGUAUGACCAUUCUAACCCGCCACGCUUAGCGCGUGGGGAGACAGUGUCAGGUGGGCAGUUUGACUGGGGCGGUCGCCUCCUAAAGAGUAACGGAGGCGCCCAAAGGUUCCCUCAGAAUGGAUGGAAAUCAUUCGCAGAGUGUAAAGGCACAAGGGAGCUUGACUGCGAGACUGACAAGUCGAGCAGGGACGAAAGUCGGGCUUAGUGAUCCGGUGGUUCCGCAUGGAAGGGCCAUCGCUCAACGGAUAAAAGCUACCCCGGGGAUAACAGGCUUAUCUCCCCCAAGAGUCCACAUCGACGGGGAGGUUUGGCACCUCGAUGUCGGCUCGUCGCAUCCUGGGGCUGUAGUCGGUCCCAAGGGUUGGGCUGUUCGCCCAUUAAAGCGGCACGCGAGCUGGGUUCAGAACGUCGUGAGACAGUUCGGUCCCUAUCCGUCGCGGGCGCAGGAAAUUUGAGAGGAGCUGUCCUUAGUACGAGAGGACCGGGAUGGACACACCGCUGGUGUACCAGUUGUUCCGCCAGGAGCAUCGCUGGGUAGCUAUGUGUGGCAGGGAUAAACGCUGAAAGCAUCUAAGCGUGAAGCCCCCCUCAAGAUGAGAUUUCCCAUUUCUUCGGAAAGUAAGAUCCCUGAAAGAUGAUCAGGUAGAUAGGUUUGGAGUGGAAGUGUAGCGAUACAUGGAGCGGACAAAUACUAAUCGAUCGAGGACUUAACCAAAA